rnacentral:lncRNA from 1 species
AAAAAAAAACAGAACGAUUUUUUACACAUAUCAUUAUUCAUAUUCUUGAACGUUUGUUGCUUUCCACGCGAGACCUUCGGUUUAAUUAAAUUUCAAUCUGGAGAAAAUAAUUCUUCUAAAGCAGUUUUGAGUUCUUCCACUAAGUUUGGAAGCCCUUAUUUCCUCUGCUUGCUAUAUGUAUAUGGAUACCAUAUACCGUUGCACCCUGUCUCUUUUCAAA